GACAGAGGAUGCAAGCGUUAUCCGGAAUGAUUGGGCGUAAAGCGUCUGUAGGUGGCUUUUUAAGUCCGCCGUCAAAUCCCAGGGCUCAACCCUGGACAGGCGGUGGAAACUACCAAGCUGGAGUACGGUAGGGGAGUGGGGAAUUCCUGGUGUAGCGGUGAAAUGCGCAGAUAUCAGGAGGAACACCGGUGGCGAAGGCGCCACUCUGGGCCGAAACUGACGCUGAGGAGCGAAAGCGUGGGUAGCAAACAGG
rnacentral:rRNA from 1 species